UUGAGCCAGGGAGGCGGAGGCUGCAGUGACCCCAGAUCUGCAACCUCCUCCUCGGGUUCAAGCGGUUCUGCUGCCUCAGCUGGGAUUACAGGCGGGCGCCACCACGCCCGGUUAAUUUUUCUAUUUUUAAUAGAGACGAGGUUUCAGCAUGAUGGCCAGGUGGCUGGGAUUCCCCCGCUUCGCCCCAGAUCCCCGGGAGAGGCCAGCACGGCCCUCCCGUGGGUGUCACAGAGACAGAUGCGAUGCGGGUCCCUCUCCCUGGGAACGGGCGGGCUGGGUCCAGUCCGCAGGGCCCCUCCGGGCGCUGACCUAGGAUGGAGUUGAGGUGCGGCGGCGCUGGACCCCAGGGCCCCUGCCUGCCUCCUGGGGAGCCGGGUGACCCAGGCAGCCCCGAUGAGGCCCCCGGGCUCCCACAGGGGGGAUGCGGACAGGGAGACUGGGGAGGCCUCCGCUGGACUGUCCCUCCAGCCCCCAGCUUUUCGUGGUUCUAAGGGUCCCCUCUGCAUCCUGAGGCGCCGCGCUUGAGGGACCCCAGAGCUCCGGCCGCUUCCUUUGGGGAUGGUGAAGCUGAGGUCCAGAGGAGGGCAGGGGCAGGUCCUGGAAGCUCCCCAGGCAAAGGGAGCCGAUCUCGAGGCUGGGGUCACAGGGCUCCAAUCCUGCCACCUCUAGGGCCCUAGAGCCGGGAGGAGAGACUGGGUACCUUUGGUCCACCGCUGGGGCUGGGCAGAGGCUCAGCCUGUACCGCAACGCGAAGCUGCUUCUGUGCAGUCCGAGCCGCGGCCCCUUUAAGAGGGGGUGGUGCUUCAGCCAGUCGCUAGUGACGCUACUGGUGUGCGCGCCUCUACGGAAGCAGAAACGGCGCUUUCCGCGGGGCCCCGGCGGAAGCGGAAGCGUCUUUGAAGUGAGCGGAAGCGGCGGCCUUGUGGUCGGAGCGAGCAAAAGCGGCGGCCAGAGUGGGCGACGUAGUGCUAAUGAGCAGAAGCGCAGUCGGCUUCCAAGCGAGCCGAAGUUAUCGCGCGGUCCCAGCCGGCAAAAGCGGAGUCGGUGUCCAGCGAGCAGAAGUGGCGGCGUCCAGAUGCGGCGAGCUUCGGAGAAGCCGUGGUGGCUUCCAUGUGAUGGGGGAGCAGGAGGGAGGCUUCCGCGGUUCAUCUGGGUUGCUCCACAUGACACUGUUUAAUCAUCAUUUCGGUGGCCGAAGAAUAUUCCCUAGUGUAUGCAUACGAGAGUUUCUUGAUCCCUUUGUGGAUGGACAGGAGAUGAAGAUAUUUUCAGUCUGCAUGCCUGAGAUCGUGUGGAACGGGACUUUCUCUACCAGGCUCAUUCGUUGGACCUGAUGUUCUCCAAGUUUCUUCAUGUGGCUGCAGAUGGCAGGAUUUCCCAGAGCUUUAUGGCUGGAACAUACUCCAUGGUGUAUCUGUACCGCAGUUUCUUCAUCCCUGCAGCUGUGGGUGGACAGGUCAUACAUGAUGUCCUCCAAGUUCAACAGCGUGGCUCCAAAUGAUGACAUUUCAUUCCGGUUUUCUAGCUGAAGACGAUUGUGUUUGUGCACAUACAUUAGGUAUCCCUUCAUCUGUGGAUGAGCAGGUUUUUCCACGUGGCCGCAAGUGACGAGAUUUCACCCAUUUCUACGAUUGAAGAAUAUUCUGCUCUGGAUGUAUAUUGGUUUCCUCAUCCCUUCAUCAAUGGAAGAAUAGGUAACAAUCAUUCUGCAUGGAUGGAAGCAGUAUCUCAGUGCAGUUUUCCUUGAUAUUCUUGUGAGGAUUAGUGCUUUUGAGAGACUUUUCUUUUACCUGUGAGUCAGUUUUACAUCUGCUUCGUAGAUACGUCUGUUCAGGUCCUUUGCCCAGACUUAGCUUGGGUGUUUGUUUUUGUUUCCCCCCACUUGGUUGUGUUAGUUUCUUGCACAAAUUUUAUAACGACCCCUUUCAAAGACAGGAUUUUCCAUAGUUUUCUUUCAGUCUGUGAGGCACCUUCUCUUCUGUUCAUUGUUUUCUUUUCACAGCAUAAGAUCAAUGUUUUCUGUAGUUCCACGUGUUUACAUGUUAGUGGUGACUUCUGUGUGCAGUUAAAACCAGUGAAAAAGAUUGCCAAUCCAUGGCAUUGUCUAUGGUUUUUUUCCUUCUUUCUUUUUCUUUUUAUAUUUCACAUUUGCAACUCGUGUGCAUAGAUUAGUCUUCUAAACUGUGUGCUUACCCUUUUUUUCCUGAGGGAAGUAAAUGGUUUCAAGAUUGAGUUUAGGCCUUCAGUGUAAUUGACAUCGAUUUUUGUCCUAUUUCCAUGUUUUUCAUGUGGUUAUCCAGUUCGCUCAAAAUCAUUUAUUAUUUUCCCAUUGUGUCUUUUUGUCUUGUGUUGAAAAACAUGUUCAGUGUACAUUCAUUUGGGUGGCAUGUGGAACUCCCUCAUUCUGUCCUUUGGGUAGCCUUUCUGUUUUUAUGCCAGUGGCAGGUUGUUUGGGUAAAUAGAGGUUUUAGUUAUUUUAUCAUUAUGCUCACUUAGUGCCUUUAGUUUCUUGCAUAUGUUAGAUGACAGUUCUUUUCGGAUAUAUGAUUUUCUAUAAUUUUAUCCCAACCUGUAGGGUGCCUUUUCUUUGGGUUCACCGUUUUCUCCUUGUUUAUAAAUAAUAGACACUCACCCUGUGUUUUUUCCUGAGAGCUUGUUAAGUUUCAGGAUUAAACUUAGGUGCUGAGUUGGUUUUGUGUUGAUGUUUGUGUUCUUAUGCAACGUAAGGGUCUCACUUCAGUCCUCUGCCUGUGAAUACCCAGGUUUCUCAACCUGGGUGCCUUUGGUGUGUUUCUGAAAAAUGUGUUUAUAUUAUUUUGGUCUGAUUGUCUGGCUCCUUCAUUUGGUCAAUUUGGUGAUCUUUCUGUGUUUAUGUCACUAAAUGGAUGGAAAGGGUCAGGGUAAGUUUUCUUUUUUUCUUUUUCAGUAGCUUUCCACCUUGAUUUGGUAAAAGAGUACCUACAUUUACUUCGAUUAACAGUAUUGCGAACACAGUACUAGUGGGGUGGUUCAUCAGUUGAUCAUCUAUCUCAAUUGGGGUACAUGUUAGUGAAAUGAUAGAAAUAACAAAGACAUUUAUCAAAAGAGGGCUCUCAUGCACAAAUAAGUUCCAGUAUCAAAAAUUCAGUAGGCUGGGCACAGUGACUCACGCCUGUAAUCCCAGCACUUUGGGAGACCGAGGUAGGCAAAUCACCUGAAGUUAGGAGUUUGAGACCAGCCUGGUCAAAAUGGUGAAACCCCAUUUCUACUAAAGAUACAAAUAUUAGCCGGGCAUGGUGGCACAUACCUAUAAUCACAGCUAUUCAAGAGCUGAGGCCGGAGGAUAGCUUUAACCUGGGAGGCGGAGGUUGCAAUGAGCUGAGAUUGUGCCAUUGCACUCCAGCCUGGGGUAUAGAGUGAGACCCCAUCUGAAAAAAAAAAAUAAUAGUUCAGUAAACAAAUGUCACUUAAACUAUAUAAGAGCUAUAAAACAGUUAAAAACUCCCCCCAAAAUUUUGGAAGGACAGAUAAGGGUGAGAUAAGAUCAUUAACUGGAUUGAGACACAUAGAAUACUACCGACAAAUAGGACAUAGGGAUAUAAAAGUAAAAGGUGUAUCAGUGAUAGAGUUUGUUAGAAAAAAAAACAGUUCAGUAAUACUUGACUUACUAAGAAAUUUGUCUAGGGCUUGGCUGUUUUUCAACUGUGGGAAAAAGAACUGCACCCCAAAAGCCAGGUGCAGUGGUGCGCAACUGUAGUCCCAACUACUCCAGAAGUUGAGGCAGGAAGAUUCCUUGAGCCCAGGAAUUCAAGGUUGUAGUGUGAAAUAUGGUGCCAGUGAAUAGCUACUCUCUCACUUCAGCCUGGGCAACAUAGCACGACCGUGCCUCUCAGAAAGAUUACAGCAAUUAUAAAACAUUUGUUUCAACAGAAAUGUAACUUUUCUGUGUCUCAUUAUUUAAAAAAAUUCAGUCAGUGCACCUUAACUUAUAAUUUUGAUGGUGUUUUUAUGAUCUUAACACACAGAAAAGUAAUAUAGGCCCAUGCUAAAUGAGGUCUCAACCUUCUAUCUUUACCUGGGUUCAUGUCGCAGCACAUCACAGAAGAGCAAAUCUAAUGCUUUUACGAAAGCAUUGCAGCAGAUAAAAGAGAACAAAUUAAAUGGAUGUUCUAAUACAUAAAUUACAAACUAGCUAGCUGAUUAAAAGCAUCAACAUAUUGCUUUGUGUUAUUUCUCUGAGUAUACCCAUAUCUAUGUGCCCAUGAAAUGUUGGUAUGCCUCCAUUGAGACUUGUUUUUUCUCCUUAUUUACGUAAAAUAUAACACACAGUUUAGUGACAGAACAUACGAUAUUUUGGUUUUCCAUUUCUGAGUUACUUCACUUAGAAGAAUGGCCUCCAACUCCAUCCAAGUUGCUGCAAAAGACAUGAUUUCAUCCCUUUUGAUGUCUGAGGAGUAGCCCAUGGUGUAUGUGCACCACAGUUCCUGUAUGCACUCAUCAGUCGAUGGGCACUUAGGUUGGUUCCAUAUCUUUGCAGUUGCAAAUUGUGCUAUAAACAUGCAUUUGUACGUGUCUUUGUGUCUUUUUUCAUGUGACUUCUUCUUUUCCUUUGCGUAGAUACCCAGUACUGGGAUUGCUGGAUGAAAUGGUAGUUCUGCUUUUACUUCUUUAAGGACUCUCCAUGCUGUUUUCCAUACUGGUUGUGCUAAUUUACAUUCCCACCAGUCGUGUAAAAGUGUUCCCUCUUCACAUUCAAGCUGACAUUGUGUUUGAACUUUUUAAUUGUGGCAGUUCUUGCAGGAGUAAGUUUGUAUCUCAUUGUGGUUUUCAUUUGCAUUUCCUUGAUUAGUGAUGUUAGUGCCCUUUAAAUAGAGACUUCAGUACUUUCCUUGUUUCAUUCUUCCUAUGAGACCACAACAAAGACAGCUAAAUUUCUAUUUGUUUUUAUUUUGACAUGAAGUCUCACUCUUGCCCAGGCUGGAGUGCAGUGGCAUGAUCUUUGCUCACCGCAACCUCCGCCUUCCGGGUUCAAGCAGUUCUCCCGUCUCAGCCUCCUGAGUGGUUGGGACUACAGGUGCCUGCCACCAUGCCCAGCUAAUUUUUCUAUUUUUAGUAGAGACAGGGUUUCACCAUAUUGGUCAGGCUGGUCUCCAACUCCUGACCUCAGGUGAUCCGCCCACCUCAGCCUCGCAAGAUGCUGGGAAUACAGGCGUGAGCCACUGCUCCCAGCCAAGGCCACAACAAGACAUCUGUGAACUCUCACCAGACACCAAAUUUUUUGGUGAGUUGAUGUGAAAUUCCCAGCCUCCAGAACUCUAAUAAUGUCUGUUGUUUAUAACCCACCCAGUUUAUGACAUUUAGUUAUAGCAGCCUGAAUGAGCUAAAACGGUAUGUGUGUAAUUACCUUCUUAGCACUGCAUUUGCUUGAAUCGGUAAGUUUUUGGUAUGUUAUGUUUUCUAUUUCUUUUAUCUCAAGAUAAUUUCUGACUCCCUUGUGAUUUCUUUUUUGAUACAUUGGCUAGUUAAGAGUAUGUUGUUUAGUUUUUCUUUUCUUUUUUUUUUUAAUUGAGACAGGGUCUCGCUCUGUCACCCCGGCUGGAUGGCAGUGGUGCAAUCUCUGCUCACUGCAACCUCCCUGACUCCCAGGUUCCAGUGACUGUCAUGCUUUAGCCUCCCAAGUAGCAGCGAUUACAGGUGCCCGCCACCAUGCCCAGCUAAUUUUUAUAUUUUUAUUACAAACAGGGUUUCACCAUGUUGGCCAGACUGGUCCCGGACUCCUGACCUCAGGUGAUCCAACCUACCUUGGCUUCCCGAAGUGCUGGGAUUACAGGUUCUUUGACACGGAGUCUCGCUCUGUCGCCCAGGUUGGAGUGCAGUGGCACAAUCUCAGCUCACUGGAACCUCCGCCUCCCCAAUUCUCCUGCCUCAGCCUCCUGAGUAGAUGGGAUUACAAGCACGCGCCACCAUGCCCAGCUAAUUUUUUGUAUUUUUAGUAGAGAUGGGGUUUUACCAUGUUGACCAGGCUGGUCUCAAACUCCUGACCUCAGGUGACCCAGCCUCCCAAAGUGUUGGGAUUACAGGCGUGAGCCACCAUGCCUGGCCGGAAACCACAGCUUGAUCAUAAGCUAUGCCAAGAUGGACACUGGUACCACUAUACAAUAUAUAUAUAAAAGUAGAAACUAUAGCAUUAAAACCCUGCAUUUGGGUUGUUAUCAAAGCAAAAUGAAACCAGAAAAUAACAAGUAUUGGUGAGGACAUGGAGAAAAUGGAGUCUUUAUACAUUGCUGGUGAGAAUGUAAAAUGGUGUGGCUACUGUGGAAAAGGAUGUGUCAGUUCCUCAAAAAAAUAAACACAGAAUUACAACAUGACCCAGAAAUUCCACAUCUGGCUACAUACAGACACAAAAGAACAAAUAUUGCAUGAUUCCACUUACAGGUGGAAAACAGAACAGGCAAAUUCAUACAGACAGAAAGUAGAAUGGUGGUUGCCAGAGCCCGAGGGAGACAGCAAUGGAGAGUUACUGUGUAAUGGAUACAGAGUGUCGAUUUUACAAGAUGAAGAGUUCUGGAGAUGGAUGGUGGUGAUGGUAACACAACAAUGUGAAUGUACUUAAUACCAACGAGCUGAAAACUUAAAAAAUGAGCAAAAUUGUAAAAUUUUUUUGCAUAUUUUAUAAUUUCUUUUAAUAUCCAGAAGUAAACAAUCAAUAGAAUAGUUUCCAAGUAGGAUCAAAGUUGAACUUGUUUUCAAAACACAAAGACAUUACUCCAAAUAAAGUCUCUGCUACGCUCUGGUCAUCCUCAAGGCUGGGCUGACAGCCCAUGGCCAGACCACAGCUCAAGCCACUCCCUGAUGACUCCCAGUAAGCAAAACUUAUAGCCCCAGAGGCCAGUUAUGGAGCCCACUGGAAAUUAGAAGAGGUGGGGGAGCCUCUCAAACCCCCACUUCACAGUCACUCUCUUCUCCUCACCCAUUGGGAUCUGUGCACUGAAUCCCAAAUCACCUCUAAUCCUAUUGAACAUCAUAUAGCCUCCAUCAGAACUGCUUCCUUCACUUACCCAGCAGUCACUCAAUAACUACCCGUUGGUCGAUCUUAUUUUUCACCACUAUCCGACUGUAAAACUCAGCUGUCCUACCUAGACCUGGGGUUUUAAGAAGGAAAAAUAAAAAACACUGGAUUUGGAAUAGGAAGAUUUCAGAGCAUGGUUGAGUUGUGUCUCUGAUUCCUGAUACCUCGACCCUUUACCAUCCUUGGUGUCCUUAUGUAUAAAAUGGCAACAGUAGCUUGACUAGCCUGGAGCUCCUCUGAACAGAGACAAGCAGACUCAGCUGGUAUUCCCGUGUGUCACACCCACACUGACUUCUCCUGCUCCCUGCCACCCCACAGAAGCAGGAGAAAAGUCAGACAGUGGCACUCCUGCCAAGCCACAGGCAUUCCAAUCCACUUUCUGCAGGACAGGUGCUAGCACCAAGUCAUGGCCAGUCUUCUAGAUGCCAGCUGGAUCUUCCUGAGGAAAAACAAGGGAGGGGCCCACAAAUGGCUGAAGGAUCAGGUCGCUGUGUGGCAAUGGCAGGGUCCACGUGCAUGGGUGGGAGAACAUCAAUACAGCCAUCAUGCCGAAGCCAACCUAUUUCAUAAGGAAGAAAGUUCAUCUGCUUCCUAAGUAACACCUCGAAGGAAAGCAUCCAACCAUGACCAGAAUGGUGCCGGGGGGCCUAUGCCUUCUCCUGCGGCAUAUGCUUCUUUGCCUCCAGGACCAUGGUGAGUGCAAGUCAAAUCUCAGAGCUGACAGGAGACGGCCUCUCAGGACAGAUGAAUGACCAAAUAACUAGGCAAGUCAGAGGAAAAAAAAAACAACAGUGAGCUUCAAAUCCAGAGCAGGGUUUCUGGCCCUAUGUGCUGUCUGAGUCCCUGCCCCAGCCCAAUCCCUCCCACCUCCUCCGUAAGGAAGGCACCUGGAUUUCCUGAAGCAACAGCUCCCUGAGUACCAUGAUCAGCAGGGCCCAAACACCCUGAAAGAGUCCACAGUGCAGGAGAAGAAACAAAUUUCCAAAUUGCUUUUUAAAAAAAAUUAUUUUCAAUAUUGUUCUAUGUUAAAACUCAAGUCAACUCUCCCCGUUGUAAGGGUACCUGUGCUGGCUUUAACAUAAUCUAAAAACAGCAGUACUUGGCACCUCUCCAACUCUCCAGCCCAUCCCAGACAUGUACAAAGCACAUUCACAUUAUCUCACUUGAAUUUAAUGCAGCCUUACAAAAUAGGCAUUAUCACCUCCAUUUUCCAGAUUAGGAAACCCAGGCUUAGAGAGACUAGCUGACCUGCCCAAAGACACAGUGCUAGAAAGAAACAAAAAUAGGACUCAAAGCCCAGCACUCUUUUCUAGCACAGCAAAAAGUGACAUGCCUUGGCAAAGAGUCUCCUGCCUGUCCCUGGACAUACACAGCUGUGAGCUAUUACACUUCAGCUAAGAGCGACAACUGAUGCCCUGCAAGGGCUCCUAACAGGUUUGCUGAGGGCGAUAGAAUAAGUCAUAUUCGCUCAAGCUGUUGGACUAUCACUUAUGCAUCAUCAACAACAUUCCAUAAAACAGAAAACAAAAUUUCCAAUUCUCUAAUAAAAGUACUAGCAAAAAGCUAUUCAAUGCCUAAGUAUUAUACACUAAUCAAAAAUUCCCAAAGACCAGCUUCCAUUUUAUAGGGAGGCACCUCAGGCUUGCCACAUUAGGUGAUUUGCCUCAGGUUGCCCAGCUGGUCUGCAGCAGAACCCAAGCUUUAAGCUGGGCACUGCUUUUCAAUAGAAGUCAGGAGGACUGGGCACAGACACAUACUGGAACCGAGGCAUACUCGUGGAUAUCCAGUUUUACCAUCUAUACAACAUUUCAUCCAGGAGAGCCUAAAAAUGAUUCCCACACAGACUCAUCAUGUACGUUAGGCCCAUGAGACCAGCAUCCCUUCUGCCCACUGCCUCCUAAUUCCACUCCAUCAUUACCACUCUUCCUCAGCUCCCCAAAAAUUUCCAGUAGCAAAACUAAGAAGCCAGAAUAAUGGACACAGUGGGAAGGCUGUGGGAGCUUUGAGCAUGUACAGUAUAAUCCUCUUUACUAGCAACUACCAUCUUUUUUUUGCAACAGGGUCUCACUCUGUUGCCCAGGCUGGAGUACAGUGGCACAGUCUCAGCUCAGCUCACUGUAGCCUCAACCUCUCUUGGGCUCAGGCAAUCUUCCCAUCUCAGCCUCAUGAGGAGCAGGGACUACAGGCUCAUGGUACCACGUCUGACUAAGUUUUUAAUUGUUUUUCUUGUAGAGACAGGGUCUCACUAUGUUGUCCAGGUUGGUCUUGAACUCCUGGGCUCAAGUGCCUUGGCCUCCCAAAAUGCUAUGAUUACAGGCACAAGCCACCAUACCUGGCCUAGUAACUACUAUCUUAAAACUGGCCUUGAGUUUUGUGUUUGAGACAGUCACCCUCUGUCACCAGGCUGAAAUGCAGUGGCAUGAUCUUGGCUCACUGCAACCUCCACCUCCUGGGUUAAAGUGAUUUUCAUGUCUCAUCCUCCCGAGUAACUAGGAUUACAGGCGCACUCCACCACACCCUGGUAAUUUUUGUAUUGUAUUUUUAGUAGAGACAGGAUUUCGCCAUGUUAGCCAGGCUGGUAUCAAACUCCUGGCCUCAAGUGAUCCACCUCCCUCAGCCUCCCAAAAUGCUGUUACAGGUAUGAGCCACUGCACCUGGCCUUGAGUUUUAAAUAUCAUAACAUGCAAUAAUUUUUUCCUAAAAAUAAAACACAUCUUUUAAAAACUAAAACUCUAACAUUGAUUUGACACAGCAAAAGAUGAUUCUUUCUAAAUGUCCCCUCUACACACCCUCACCUCUUCAAUAGAAUCACCCUGCCUCUGGGUCUGUCCCUCUAACUAGCCUUGUAAACUUCUCAAAGGCAGCAGUCCUGUCCUAUAGAUAAAUAGGUGAGGAGUAUUUUGUAUCACCAUAUCUGGUUCUAAAUCCCAUGAAGGAAGACACAUGAGUAGAUGAGUAGUUUCUAGACAGCUCAACUGUUACUCAGUCAAACCCUCCACACAGGGAGAAGUAUCACAAGUCAAGCAGAAAACAAAGAGCUUCCCGUGCAGGACAAAUGUGCACCCUCAUUUUAGAGAUAAGAAAGCUGAGCCCUGUAACCAUAUUCCUAAGGAUGGAAUAGUCAUAGAACUGCACCACUCCAUAACAAAGACAAAACAAGGGCUGGAAAAAAACAACUAGAGGACAGUACACAUUUAACUUUUCAGUCAAAUCUUUCUUCAUGACCAGCAUCCAUCAUUCACAGGAUGACCUUUGAAGGACAGCGCAAGCUUCAGAGGUACCUCAGUGCAGAGGCAGCCUACAGAGAUAUGGCUCAGUGACGGCUUUGUUAACACCAUGGACAGGAGCACUCCCAUACAAGGAGGAGCACUCCCAUCGCAGCUCAAAUAGGACUUCAUCAGUCCCAGUUUUUUUUGGCACGUUUCAUUUUUCUGUGCUUUGCUUUAUUGAGCUUCACAGGUACUGUUUUUGAUGAACUGAAAGUCUGUGGCAACCCUCUGUCGAGAAAGUUAAGUGUUAUUUUUCCAAGAGCAUGUGCUUACUUUGCUUACUUUGUGUUUCUGUGUCAGCAUUUUUUAGCAAUAAAGCAUUUCUUAACUAAGGUAUGCACAUUUUGUAAGAUAUAAUGCUGCUGCACACUUAAUAGACUACAGUACAGUAUAAACAUUAACUUUUAUGUGUACCGGGAAACCAAAAAAUUUGUGGGACUUGCUUUACUGUGAUAGUCACUUUAUUGCAGUGGUCUGGAACCAAACCCACAAUGUCUCUGAAACAUGCCUGUAAUGAUUGAAAAAAAAACCUGCCAGUGGACCCAAAAUAGAAGAAACCUCCUCAAUCUGUACCUUAGUCAAUUUUGUGCUGCUAUAACAGAAUACCUGAGACUGGGUAAUUUACAAAGAACAAAAAUGUAUUGGCUCACAGUCCUAGAAACUGAGGAGUCAAAGAGCACGGCGCCAGUGCCAGUACCUAGCAAAGGCCUUACUGCAUCACUGCAUGGUGGAAGGUAGAAGGGUAAGCGAACAUGACAAAGCAAAAGGGGGAUAAGCUCACUUCUGUAACAAGCCCACUCUUGUUCAGUGAACCUAUUCCCACAAUGACACCAUUAACUCACUUACCAAGGCAGAGCCCUCAUAACCUAAUCAACUCUUGAGUCUCACUUGUCAACAUUGUUGCAUUGGGAAUUAUGCUUCCUACAUAUAAACUGUGGGGGAUACUUCAAACCAUAGCAAUCCCACAAAAGGUAUUUACAAAAAACCUACAGCUAACUUCCCUCCAAGAUCAAGAAACAAGGCAAGGAUAUCCACUGUCAUCUGUCCUAUGCCACAAUAUACUGGAAGCUCUAGCUACCACAGUAAGGCAAGAAAAAGAAAUAAGUAGAGAUUACAAAGAGAAAAAAAUGAAACUGUCCCUUUUCACAGAUGGCAUGAUUGCCCUUCAUAGAAAAUCUCAAGGAAUCUAGAAAAUAAAGCCCUAGGCCAGGCGUGGUAGCUCAUGCCUGUAAUCCUAGCACUUUGGGAGGCCGAGGUGGGUGGAUCACCUGAGGUCAGGAGUUCAAGACCAGCCUGGCCAUCAUGGUGAAACCCCAUCUUAAAAAAAGAAAAUAAAGACCUAGAACUUUUAAGUGUGUUUAGCAAGUCAUAGGGUACAGGUCAACACAUAAAAAGUAAUUGUAUUUCUUUCUGCAUAUUAGCAAUAAACACUAGAUAUCAAAAUUGAAAAAAUAUCAUUUAUAAUAGCUCCAAAAAUUAUGUAUAAAUAUAAUAAAAUGUGUAUAAAGUCUAUAUUCUGAAUCCUAGAAAACAGUGAUGAAAGAACUCAAAAUAGACCUACAUAAAUGGAAAUGAACUAGAAGAUUCAAUAUAGUAAAAACCUCAAUUUUCCCCAAACAGACCUAGAUUUAGUCCAAUUCCAACAAAAAUCACAGAAGGGUCUUUUGUGAUUAUAGAUAAACUGACAGAAAGAUUUAAUGGAAGGCCAGAAAGGUACUAGAAUUACCCCAUUUUAAAAAUCAUAAUAAUAUCGGAGGAAUCACACUACACAAUUUUAAAACUUACAAUAAAGCUGUAAUAACCAAGGUAGCAUAGUCUUGAAGGAACAGACAUAAAUCAAUGAAACAAAAUACAGAGUCCAUAAGAAUUCAAAUGAACAUGGCCAAUUUAUUACUGACUACAGUGCAAAGGCAAUUCAAUGCAGAACUGCCUGGAACAAAUGGCUCUGGAACAUCCAUAUGCAAAAAGCAAAAAGAAAAAGAACCUUGACCAAAAAUUCACAUCUAAUACAAAAAUGACUCAAAAUGGAUCAUUUCUAAACAUAAAAUACAAAACAAACACAGGAGAAAAUUCUGGAAACCUAGGGUUAGACAAGACUUCAGACAACACACAGAAAAACACAAUCCAUAAGCAAAAGUUUGAUAAACUGGACUUCCAAAUUUAAAAACUUUCUUUACAAAAGACACCACUACAAGAAUGAAAAGGUCAAUCCUUGCACCAAACAACCAGUGAACUAGGAAAAUAAUUAUCAAAAUCUACCAUUUCAAACUCUGGAACCUGGCCAGGCAUGGGUUCACACCUAUAAUCCCAAGGCAGGAUAAACUGCUUGAGCCUAGGAGUUUGAGACCAGCCUGGACAACAUAGUGAGACCCCAUCUCUACAAAACAUAAAAAAAAAAAAAUUAGGUCAGGCACAGUGGCUCAAGUCUAUAAUCCUAGCACUUUGAGAGAUGGAGGUGAGUGGAUCACCUGAACUCAGGAGUUCAAGAUCAGCCUGGGCAACACAAUGAAAACUUGUCUCUAUAAAAAAAUACAAAAAAAAUUAGCUGGGCAUGGAGGUAUGCACCUAUUGUCCCAGCUACUUGGGGGGCUGAAGUGGGAAGAUCACUUAAGUCCGUGAGGUUGAGGCUGCAGUGAGCUGAGAUAGUGCCACUGCUGCAGUGAGCCGAGAUUGUGCCUGGGUGACAGAGUGACACCCUGUCUCAAAAAAAUAAAUUAGCUGAGCAUGGUGGCACAUACCUGUAGUCCCAGCUACUUGGGAGGCUGAGGUGGGAGGAUAACUUAAGCCUGGGAGGUCGAGGCUACAGUGAGCUGAGAUUGUACCACUGCACUUCACCCUGACAGACCAAGUGAGACCCUGUCUCAAGCAAAGCAAAACAAAACAAAGAGACUCUGCAACCUGACCAAACACUUACAACAACCAGCAGAGUAUUUGAUAAACAGAGGCUGCUAAUAUUUGGUAAAAGAAUAACUUGCUCGACUCAGCUACCAUCCCCCAUUCCUCAGCCCCAUAACUCAUAGCUCCAGGGACAGCAGCCCAUGUUCCUAAACUGGCUGGCUGGUUCCAGAGUGAGCGAGCAGUGGAAACUAUCCUACAAAAACGUGGGUUGUGCACUUUCGUUGGUCUGGCAGAUCCCUGUAGAACUGGUAUAUACUUGCCUCGGUUUUGGCCUUCUCAGGCUACAGAUGAUUUCACAGGUGGCUUCUAUUAGAAAAUUUAAAGAGAUGGAACACCUUUCCCCCUUUCUGAGCCGAACACCUGUAAUCUCAGCACUUUGGGAGGCCAAGGUGGGCAGAUCACGAGGUCAGGAGAUCGAUACCAUCUUGGCCAACAUGGUGAAACCCUGUCUCUACUAAAAAGCUCUGCCUCAGUUUCCCAAGUAGCUAGUAUUACAGGCACAUGCCACCACACCCAGCUAUUUUUUGUAAUUUUAGUAGAGAUGGGAUUUCACCAUGUUGGCCAGGCUGGUCUCAAACUUCUGACCUCAGGUGAUCCGCCCACCUUGGCCUCCCAAAGUGCUGGGAUUACAGGUGUGAGUCACCAUGCCUAGCCAGCAUAUUCUUGACUGUCAUAUCAUCAGUGAAAAUUGUGCCUUUGUUACAUUUAAUUCUUUUGGGUUAACCAAAAUUAGCCAAGUGUAGUAGCACAUGCCUGUAGUCCCUGCUACUUAGGAGGCUAAGGCAGGAGAAUUGCUUGAACCCAGUAGGCGGAGGCUGCAGUGACCUGAGAUUUCGCCACUGCACUCCAGCCUGGGGUGACGGAGAGACACUUCAUCUAAAAAAAAAAAGAGAAUAUGCCCCAAUCCAGCAACCAACAUAAAGCAGCAAAACCCAAAGGAAAUGCAAAGACACAUAAAUAGUAAUACCCUAAAAAUUUGAGACUUCACAUCAAUCUCAAAACAAGACAAAUAACACACCAAGUAUGGCAGUGAGCAUCUGUAAUUUCAGCUAUUCAGGAGGCUGAAGCCCAGAAGUUAAAUCCAGACUGGGAAACAUAGCAAGACUCUGUCUCUUAAAAAAUAAAUUAAAAAAAAUUUUUUUUUAAAGACAAAUUGGACGGAUGCUGUGGCUCAUGCCUGUAAUCCCAACACUUUGGGAGGCCGAGGCAGGAAGAUGGCUUGAGCCCAAGAGUUCGAGCCUCGCCUGGGCAACAGAGCGAGACCCUGUCUCUACAAAACAAUUUUAAAAUGAUGGCCAGGCUUGGUGGCUCAUGCCUGUAAUCCCAGCACGGUGGGAGGAUCCUUUGAGUCCAGGAGCUAGAGACCACCCUGGGCAAGACAGUGAGACCCCCCCCCCUCAAAAUCUCUAAAAUAAAUAAAAUAAAAAUUAGCCAGGCAUGGUGGCAUGCACCUGUAGUCCCAGCUACUGGGGAGACUGAAGUGGGAGGAUCACUUAAAACCAGGAGUUCAAUGCUGCAGUGAGCCAGGCCACUGCACUCCAGCCUUGGAUACAGAGUGAGACCUUGCCUCAAAAAAAAAAAAAAGAAAAGAAAAAGACAAAUCAAGUGGAGAAAAAAAUAAGUAAGGGGAUAGACGAUCGAUCUAGACAACAUAAUACAGGAGACUCUGUAGAUGUAUAUCAAACUUCACACCUUGAUGACAGAAACAUUCACAGUACAUUCACAAAAAAACUGUUCAUGUAUUAGGUCACAAAGAAAACACUUUCCAUCAAGUAAAGAUACUAAAAACAACACUUCCCAAUCAUAAUGCUUAAAACUAGAAAUUUACUAACACAGCCGUUACCACCAACAGAAGAAAGGUGUGUCUACAUAAAAAUUGAAGAAUCUCCUCACAAUUUCCAGAUAAAAGGAAAUGCAAUGAAAAAUUUAGAGAAAUUUAAAGAAAUACUAACAGCCAGGCAUGGCGGCUCAUGACUGUAAUCUGCCUGUAAUCCCAGCACUUUGGGAGGCCAAGGCAGGAGGAUCACCUGAGUCUAGGAGUUCCAGACCAGUCUGGGCAACACAGGGAGAUCUCAUCUCUACAAAAUACUUAAAAAUUAGCUGGGUGUAGGGGCACAUGCCUGUAAUCCCAGCUCCUUGGGAGGCUGCGGCAGGAGGAUCAUUUGAGCCUGAGAGGUUGAAGCAGCAGUGAACAGUAAUUGCACCACUGUACUCUGGCCUGGGUGACGAUCCUGUGAGACCCUGUAUCAAAAAUAAAAAAAUAAAAAAUAGCACAGGCAUGGUGGCUCACGCCUGUAAUCCCAGCACUUUAAGAGGCCAAGGCAGAUGGAUCACGAGGUCAAGAGAUUGCAACCAUCCUAGCUAACAUGGUGAAACCCCAUCUCUACUAAAAACACAAAAAUUAGUCAGAAGUGGUAGCACGCGCCUGUAGUCCCAGCUAUUCAGGAGGCUGAGGCAGAAGAAUCGCUUCAAUCUGGGAGGUGGAGGUUGCAGUGAGCCAAGAUUACACCACUGCACUCAGCCUGGUGACAAAACAAGAUUCUGCCUCAAAAAUAUAAAUAAAAUAAAAAAUAGGUAUUAAUAAAAACACACACCACAUAUGAAAACACAAUGCAAUCAUCUAGGGGAAAAAUAAUUAUAUGAUUAUCUCCAUAGAAGAGAAAGUCUGACAAAAUUCAACAUCCAUUCAUAAUAAAAAAUACUCAAGAAAAUAGAAAUUGAAAGAUAUUUUAUAAAUACGGUAAUACAAAUAUACCUUAGUCCUAAAGCCAAAAUCUUAUUUUGUGAUCAAACACUAGAGGCAUGUCCAUUAAUAUCAAGAGCAAAGCAAAGAUGUCUACUAUCUCUGCUACUAUCCACCACUGUACUAUGAAUAUUAGCCAGUGAAAUUAGUAAAGAGAAAUCAAUUAGAGGUUAAAAAAAAAAAAGGGUAAAGAAAAAAAUACCACUUUGAUUUGCAGUAGCUCUGAAGGUCUAUGACAAAAAAAAAAAAAAAAAAAAAAAUACCACUAAUUGCAGAUAAUACAAUAUAUUACCUGGAAAACCCAAAAUCAGUGAUAAAAUUUAUUCAAUAAUAACUCAGUGUGCUGGGCACAGUGGCUCAGGUCUGUAAUCCCAGUACUCUGGAAGGCCUAGGUGGAUAGAUUACUUGAGGUCAGCAGUUUGAGACCACUCUGGCCAACAUGGUGAAACCCUGUCUCUACCAAAAGUACAAAAAUUAGCCGGGCAUGGUGGUGGGCAUCUGUAAUCCUAGCUACUUGGGAGGCUGAGGCAGGAGAAUCACUUGAAUCUGGAAGGUGGAGGUUGCAGUGAGCCGAGAUUGUGCCACUGCACUCCACCCUGGGCGACAGAGCGGGACUCCUUUUCAAAACAACAACAAAAAACUAAACAAAAACACUCAGUGAAGCUGCACAAUAUGAGAUUAAUAAAUAAAAAUCAAUAGCCUUCAUAUAUACAAACCAUAAAAGAAAACAUUAUGGUAGAGAAAAAUCCCAUUCGAAAUAACAACAAGGUAAUUAAAUACUUAAAAAUAAAUUAAAACUGUGCAAGAGGCUGGGUGUGGUGGCUCACUCCUGUAAUCCUAGCACUUUGGAAGGCUGAGGCAGGUGGAUCACCUGAGGUCGGGAGUUCAAGACCAACCUGACCAACAUGGAGAAACCCUGUCUCUAUUAAAAAUAAAAAACUAGCCGGGCAUGGUGGCACAUGCCUGUAAUCCCAGCUACUUGGCAGGCUGAGGCAGGAGAAACGCUUGAACCUGGGAGGCAGAGGUUUCAGUGAGCUGAGAUCGUGCCACUGCACUUUAGCUUGGGCAACAGGAACAAAACUCCAUCUCAAAAAAAAAAAAAAAAAUGUGCAAGAAAAAUUUUAAAACGUUAUUAAAAGACACUAAAGUUAACUUGAACAAAUGAAAUGGCAUUCCCUGCUCUUGGACAGAAUUCAAAAAUAUAAAGAUGUUAGUUUUCCCCAAGUUAAUUUAUAUAUUCAAUGCAAUCCCAAUACAAAUACUGACAACAUAAUAGACAAGAUGAUACUAAAAUUCAUAUGGAAAAACAAAAAUUUAAUACUAGGAAAACAAUGUAAACAAAAAACUGUAAGGGGGGAUAGGCAUAAGACAUGAAACCAUACUAUACAAAGCCUUCAUAAUUAAAUCAGCAUGGUACUGGUGCAUAUACAAACAAAAAGAUGAGGUCCAGAAUUAGACUCAAGUACAUAUGGAAAUAAAAAACAUGGAAAAGAUGGCAUCUCAAAUCACUACAGUCAAGAUGAUCUUUGUACUAAAUACUGCUGGAACAGUAUUCACUGUUGGAAAAAGAUAACUCACAAGAAUAAACUUGCAAAUGAAUUAGAAAUCUAAAUGAUAAAAAAUAAAACCAUACAGCCAGGUACUGGUGGCUCACAUCUGUAUCCCAGGACUUUGGGAGGCUGAGGCGGGCAGAUCACGAGGUCAAGAGAUGGAGAGCAUCCUGGCCAACAUGGUGAAACCCCAAAAUACAAAAUUUGGCUGCAACCUCCACAUGCUGGGUUCAAGCGAUUCUCCUGCUUCGGCUUCCCUAGUAGCUGGGACUAUAUGCAUGUGCCACCAUGCCCAGCUAGUUUUUUUUGUAUUUUUAGUAGAAAUGGGGUUUCACCAUGUUGGUCAGGCUGGUCUAAUGAUCCGCUCACCUCGGCCUCCCAAAGUGCUCAGUACAGGCAUGAGCCACCGACCCUGGCCUCAAUAAAGAUGUUUUUAAAAAUGAAUGAAGAUCUCUAUGAACAGAUAUGGGAUGAUUUUCAAAACAACCUUUUAACCUAUUUGGUUUUUGUUUUUGGAGAUGGAAUCUCAAUUGGUCGCCCAGGCUGAAGGUCAGUGAUACAAUCUCGGCUCACCGCAACCUCCACUUCCCAGGUUCAAGCGAUUUUCCAGCCUCAGUCUCCCAAAUAGCUGAGAUUACAGGUGCCUACCACCACACCCAGCUAAUUUUUGUAUUUUUAGUAGAGAUAGGAUUUCACCAUGUUGACUAGGCUGGUCUCAAACUCCUAACCUCAGGCGAUCCACCCACCUCAGCCUCCCAAAGUGCUGGGAUUAUAGGCGUAAGCCACCCCACUCCACCUAAAACAUACUAUUAACUGAAAAAAGCAAACACAAUUAUCUAUAGCAUGUCACCCUUUGUAUAAGAAAGAAGAGGAUAUGAGAAAAUACACAACUAUAACACGGGGAGAAAUGCCAGAUGUAGGUGACAGGGGGAUGGAGGCAGCAAACCACAUUGUCAUGUGUGUACCUAUGCAACAAUCCUGCAUAAUCUGCACAUGUACCCCAGAACCUAAAGUACGAUAAAAAAGGAGAAAAAAAAAAGAAAAAAUAAUUUUAAAAAAAGAAAAUACACAGCUAUCUUUCACUUGUGCAAAAGAAAUAUGAGAUAAUCCAGAUACCAAAGUAUAUACAGGGUAUAUAGGGAAGGGGUGAAAAGAAGGGGCAAAUGGGAACAGGGCACUAGGCAUGAGGAGGAAAGUUCUUUCAGUAUACCUUUGUGUGUAGCUCUAACUAUCAGAAAUCAGUCAUAAUUCAUACCCCAAAAAUAAACUAAAAUCAACUAGGAUAUAGGGGGAACUCAAAAUGAAAUACAAACACUAACAAUAAACCUAACUAUUACAACUAACAUGACCACUCUGAAGGGCAUGAGGAAGAAAAGAACUAAACUAAGUAACUGUGAAAAACAGUAUCUUGACUGGAUACUGUGAGGCUGAAGACAAAAAGAACUGUGAUUCCAGGGUUGGGACAGAGAAAACACAAGAUGAACCUGGAACAUCUUUAGGUGUCAUAAAGUAAGUGCCCAACAACAACAAUAACAAAAAGAUGAUGGCCAGUUGAUAGGCUACAGAAGCCAACCUGAAGGAGACCUUCAACUGAAUAGCCAAUGCUGGAGCAGUAAGCAACAAAAUAAUGACAGUGAAUUUUAACUCACAGAAUACAAUGCAUAUCCAUGGCCUACACUAAUACAAACAAAUAAAAAAAGAGAGAGUGGAUAGUUCUUCUUUCAGUGGAACUUGACUUAAUAAAUAAAUGUAGAAGGAAAGAGAAAUAAUUACCUUCAGGCAAACACCACAAAGAACUGCAGAUGGAGGCUAAAGUCUGCGUACAAACUCGUAGAAAACCAAACUUUGCAUCCUCUCAAAGUAUGUCUCCCAACAGACUCAUUAAUUAAAAAGGGAUACUAAGUUUAUGGUGUAGAAAUCUGGCAGACACCAAGCAAACAAUAGAUCAAAAUAUCACCAGUAAUAAAGACAUACCAGUAUCCUGGACUCCAUCUGAUGCACUGAGAAAGACACCAAGAUAAUGCGUCUUUGCGUUAUUCUGGCCAACAAUGCAUAAUCUCACCCCAAUCAUUAGAAAACACUGGAUAAACCUUUAAAUUGAGAGACAUUAGACAAAAUAACUGAUCGGUAGUCUUUAAAAGCAUCAAAGCCAAGGAACACAAGAAAAGUCUAAGGAAGUGUUAUGGACCAACGAGAAAUAACUAAAAUGCAACAUGGGUUCUUGGAUAGAAUCCUGGAAUGAAACCGCAACCUUAAUUUUAAAAAUGGUAACAUUCAUAUCAGUCUGUAAUAUAGUUAAUAAUGCUGUACCAACACUAGCUUUCUGUUCUUGAUAAUUGUAUUAUAAUUAUGUAAGAUGUUAACAUUAGGGAAAGCAGGGUGAGGGACAUAAGAGAAUGUUUUGUAUUGUUGUUGCAAUUUUUCUCUAAAUCUAAAAUUAGCUUAAAAAGCUUAAAAAUAAAUAACCAUGCCAGGCAUCGUGGCUCACACCUGUAAUCCCAGCAGUUCAGGAGGCUGAGGCAGGCAGAUCACCUGAGGUCGGGAGUUCGAGACCAGCCUGAGAAACCCCAGGCUGGAGGUUUUUAUAGGAUGGAGAAACCCCAUCUCUAUAAAAAAUAAAUUAAUAAAUAACCAUUUGGAUUAUACAUUUAUCAUCUGUAAGCAAUGUGAGGAUGGUGACCAUUUAUGUAUUGUUCACCACAAACCCAAGAAACUCACUAAAAGGAGCUUUAAAAAAAAAUAGCUAUUGAAAAUCAUGAAAAAGAAAAUUAUCUAUUCAUUUCUGACUCCCAGCCCAGCAGCUGCGUUUCCUCAGAUAGCAGCACAUUCAGCAGACUUACUAGUCUAAGCUAAUAAGUUAUCAAACCUGUUAGAGUAUGGUUUCCAUGGCCUCAGAACACAUGAUAAAGGAUAGCACAUUUUGAACACCUCAGCACCCUGAUCCAGAGUGUUAACUGGGGGUGUUUUCUGGCCUGGAAGGUGGGGAGCCUAUGUCUUAAACCCAGUUGGCACUGCCCUGGCUGCGGGACUGACAUGACACAGAUGCCUGUCUCUGGGUCUCAGUCCCCUCAUGUAUGAGGCUUUGUGCUAGAUGAGGUUUCUGCAGGCUAACCAGCCCAGGAGCAAAGAAUGGGUUUUACAUUGUUUUUAAUAUUUGGAAAAAAAAAUUAUGACACAUGAAAAUUACAUAAACAAUAUAUACGAUUAAAAUUUCGGUCCCCAUAAUUAACACUUUAUUGCAACACAGCCACUCUCUUGUGUAUUGUCCUUGGCUGUAUCCACACAUUGCCACACUUGAGUAGACAGAGUACGCUCCCCGCCAAGGCUAAACUACUAUGAACAGUAUUAUACUCAUUAUAUUUACCCUAUAACAAUGUAAACAUUAAUAUAUUUACAACAAAGUUUGAGGACUGCUGAACGAGACCGUUCUAAGGACAUUCUAUUUCUAACCACAAUAAUCACACAGAAGGAACAUGGAAUCCGACGGUCCCACAUUUAUUACCUGUACCCAGGUCCUGAAGAGUUCAGUAACUCCCAAAGCCACUCGUGCAGACACCUUGGGAAUGUCAGGUGAGUUUCAUCUGGCCAGGGCCGGCCUCCUGCGGGGAGGCAGUGAGCAGAAUAGUCAAAAUUUUCAGUCUGGAGUCGCGCUCACCCACUGGGUGGCUUGUAGCAAGUCAUUUCACCUUCCCUCGGCCUCAGUUUCCACCCCUGUAAAUGGCACUAAUAACGGCACUCACCUCGCAGGGCUGCUGUGAAGGUGAAGCGAAAGUCGCGAGUGAAGGGUUAACGCUGGGCUUUGCAUCCAGCAGACAGCAAAUCAAUGGUGGCUCCUGCAGUUAUUGUGAACCACCCCCCAAGGCUGAAACCCAUUCUAGGCACCUCAGGGCGGCGGCGAGAGCCUUAAAGAGGCCCGCGAGGCAGCCAGAAAGCCCGGCCUCAGUUUCCCGGACUGUGGCUCUAGAGCUGCCCGCGAAACCCCCAGCGUCCUCACGUGACCCAGCCUCACGCCUGCAGCCCCUCAGACCCGCGCCCCCGGCUCUGCCCGGCGUCGCCCCCAACCCCGGCACACAGCCUUCAAUCCAGCCUUCCAGGAGCUCACCAGGCGUCUCCACAGCAACAGCCAGCCCUUCCCGACCACCACGCCAGUCGGCUGAGCACCUGACAAUAAGGCGCGCUCCUAUUGGCUCCGGUGCCGGCUGCACCAACCAAUCAGUGUGGCCACACGCGCCCCUCUCCCGCCCUAUCGGACUAGUUCGCCGGCACCCUGCAGACAGCUACCCUUGGAGCGGUGUGUGUCUGUGAAAUCUGUGAAAUGCGGGAGUGGAGCUUGUUGGUUCCGGAUUCCCGCUCUUGGUCCUCGCGUGCUGGAGGCUCAGAGCACCAGCUCUCAGUCGGACUCCCAGCUGCACAGCUGGCGCCCUGAGCAGUCGCUAAAUGAUGGGCGGUGUAUGGUCUUGUAGGCUGACUGACGGCUCCACACGGCUACCCCCGGAAGACCAAGAAAAGAGGAAGAUGAUCAACCCCUACAGCGCCUAACUCUUCUAACAACAGAAGAACUAACAUUCUAAUAUUGUUUUCUUAUUCCGGCCCCAAUUGAUAAGGCCAUUGGACUUUGAAACUGACUUUCGUCAACCUCGUGACUCGAGACCCUGCGACCCCCACCCAGCUUGCAAAAACCCGCCCUAACCUGUAACUUCUGUAACUUUACAUUGCUUACCCCAAACCUAUAAAACCAACUCCUACCGCACCGCCCUCUGCUGAUUCUCUUUCCUGACUCAGCCCACCUGCAUCGGGUGACUAAACAGCCUCGCUGCUCACGCAAAGCCUGUUUGGCCGGGGUCGGGGGAGGGGGUCUCUUCAUUCAGAGAGCGUUUCAACAUUUGGUGCAGAAAACCCGGACAAGGAUACUCCUUUGGGGAGACCAGCCCCCUGUCCCCUCUUCCCCCUCUGGGAAGAGACCCACCUGAGACCUCGACACAUCAGACCAGCUCAGCAGCUCCCGCUUAGCGUGAGGAACAGCCACCUUCAGAUUGGCUAUCUCCUUCUAGUAGAGAAAAAGGAGACACUCUAUCCGUGUGGAGCCAGAGGAGACAAGUCUCUCCCUCUAGCUCACAAACUGACGUGGUCAUGGACUCUGGAAGACAGUCUUCCCUUGGGGUCUGGUCAAUCGCACGGACGCCUGCCUUCCACAUUACAGUCCAAGAAUCCGUCAGGGAUGCCUACUGAAAACCCUGGUAGCUGCUCGCCUCUUCUCCUGGUCUCUACUCCUUUCCUUAAAACUUAUCUCUGGCCAGGCGCGGUGGCUCACGCCUGUGAUCCAAGCACUUUGGAGGCCAAGGCGGGCGGAUCACCUGAGGUCGGGAGUUCAAGACCAGCCUGACCAACAUGGUGAAACCCCGUCAUAUAUAUAUAUAUAUAAACUCCUUCGCUAUGGGCGGUAUUCCGCCCUCUAUUCCUCAGUCUUCCCCUCUAGCCUGUGUCCUAAAAAACCUAAAACCUCUUCAACUGUCGCCCGAUCGGAAACCUAAAAGUCUAAUUUUUUCUGUAAUACAGACUGCCCUCAAUACAAAUUAGACAAUGAUUCCAAGUGGCCAGAAACUGUUCACUGGGCCAGGCAAGCCCACAGCCUGGGGCUCCAUCCUGCUUCAAAUGCCAAAAGCUUGGACAUUGAGCUAACAAAUGCUCACAGCCCAAGGCCCCUUCCAAGCCAUGUCCUGUCCUUGGGGGACCCCACUGGAAAUCGGACUGUAUGGCUCAUAUUACAGCCACUCCCAAGGCUCCUGGAGUUCAAAUCCAAUAUUCUCCAGCUGACUCCUUUCCAGAACUUCUCAACUUAGCAACUGAAGAUUGACGCUGCCAGACUGCUUUGGAAGCCCCCUGGACCAUCAUGGACUCCGAGCUUCAGGUAACUCUUAUGGUGGAGGGUAAGUCCAUCCCCUUCUUAAUCAGCACAGACCCACCCAUCCCACACUGACUUCUUUUCAAGGACCUGUCUCCUUGGCCUCCAUAACUGUUGUGGGAAUUGACAGCAAGGCCUCCAGACCUCUCAAAACUCCCCAAGUCUGGUGUCGAUUAGGCCAGCGCUCCUUUCCACAUUCUUUUCUAAUUAUCACCGCUUGUCCAGUUCCCGUGUUAGGCUGAGAUAUCCUAGCAAAAUUGCCUCCUUCACUAUUCCUGGGCUACAGCCACACCUCAUUGCCGCCUUCCUCCCAGAACCCGUACCUCCCUCAAUAGCUCCCCUUACGUCCCGCUACCUUAACCCUAGGGUGUGGAACACCACCUCCCCAUCCCUUGCUACAAGUCAUUCACCCCUCAUCAUCCCCUUAAAACCUAACCACCCUUACCCUGUCCAGCACCAGUACCCCAUCCCACAACAGGCUUUAAAGGCCUAAAGCCUGUUAUCAUCCAUCUAUUACAACAUGGCCUUUUAAUUCACCCUCCUGCUUCUUCAGCAUCUAUACUCAAAGGAGUAUCACGUAUCCCCUUCCAAAGCCCAAAUUUCUUCCCCUAUCCUAUCUAUAAAAAACUAGGCAAAUCCUACAGGCUAGUCCAAGACCUAUAAAAGGAAGCCUGUCUGAUCCCAUAGACCAAAAAUCCUUCCCCAAUUCUUCCUUCCGUUCUCUAAAAAAGGCCUUAGAGACUGCUCCUACUUUAGCACUCCCCAAUUCCUCUUGACCCUUCUCUUUCUACACAGCAGAAAUAAAAGGCUGUGCCAUCGGAAUUCUUACACAGGAGCCAGACCCACGGCCUGUAGCCUUUUUAUCCAAACAACUUAACCUCACAGUCUUGGGCUGGCCCUCAUGCCUACGAGCAUCAGCAGCUACCACCCUGAUACUCUUAGAAUCCCUCAAAAUCACAGGUUAUGCCCCACUUACCCUCUGUAGCUCUCACAACCUCCAAAGUUUGGUUUCUUCUUCACACCUUACACACCUACUACCCACCCCUCACCUCCAACUGUAUUCACUGUUCAUUGAAACACCCACUGUAACCCUCGCUCUCGGUCUUUCUUAAUACCUAACACAAACCCUGAACCCCAUGACUGUGUCUCUCUAAUCCAUAUAGCAUCCUCCCCAUUUCCCCAUACUUCUCUUUUUCCUAUUCCAGACCCAGACCACACAUGGUUUAUUAAUGGCAGUUUCUUUAAGCCUAGUCAGUUGGCACUGGCCAAAGCUGGCUAUGCUGUUGUAUCCCACUCAUCUAUCAUCAAGGCUGCCAUACUUCCCUCUCUUACCACUUCUCAGCAAGCUGAACUGAUUGCCUUAACCCAUGCUCUUACUCUUUCCAAAGGACUACAUGUUAAUAUCUAUUCUGACUCUAAGUACGCCUCUCACAUCUUACACCACCAUGCUGUUAUAUGGGCAGAAAGAGGUUUUCUCACUAUACAAGGGUCCUCUAUUAUCAAUGCCCCCUCAAUAAAGGCCCUCCUUAAGGCUGCUCUCCUUCCAGCCAAGGCUGGAGUUCCACUGCAGAGGACUCAGGAUUCAAGCCACUCCUAAAGAAGCCACAGGGUAUAGCCCCUUGGAACUCCUAUAUGGCCACACCUUUCUGCUUGGGCCUAACCUUAUUCGAGACACCAGUCCUCCAACAGGCCAGACAUGAAAUCCACCAGUCUGCUAAUUUCCUCUUACCACUCCAGGUACCUGGCCAUAUGAAAACACCCUAGCUGGAAGGUCAGCCCUAGUUAAAAGCCUCACCCCUUAGUCUCUGCAACCUUGGUGGACAGGACCCUUCCUGAUCGUCUAUAGUACCCCAACUGCUGUUGGUCUACCCUCUCCAGGGGGUCCAUCAUUCCAGGAUAAAGCUGUGGCCAUCAGACAAUCGGCCUGACUCCUCCGCCUCCUCCUGGAAGUCGCAAGUACUGUCUCUCACUUCUUAUAAACUCACCCAUAUGCCCAAGGUGGAAGAGUAACCCUAUACAAACCUAACAUACCUUUUACUUUCACUAGGCAUCUUUUUCCUAACACCACUAUUUAACACGGUCGCCCCUACUACUUAAACUACACCUCAGAAAGUCUGUUUCUAUUUUCUAACUGCGCUGAAAUUCACGGUACUCAUUUACUUUUACAUGCCCUGCUUUUGUUUAAGUUGCUAGUUAGGCCAGGCACAGUGGCUCACGCUCAUAAUCCCAGCACUUUGGGAGGCCGAGGCAGGUGGAUCACAAGGUCAAGAAAUCAAGACCAUCCUGGUAAAACCCCCGUCUCUACUAAAAAUACAAAAUUAGCUGGGCGUGGUGGCACCCACCCGCACCUGUAAUCCCAGCUACUCAGGAGGCUGAGGCAGGAAAAUCGCUUGAACCUGGGAGGCAGAGGCUGCAGUGAGCUGAGAUCACAUCACUGCACUCCAGCCUGGCGAUAGAGCGAGACUCCAUCUAAAAAAAAAAAAAAAGUUGCUGGUUUACACUUUUCCUCCAGGCAGUUACAGGUGAUACUUCAUGGUUUUACCCUCAGCUUGCCACCCUUAAUUCUCUUAGAGUGGAUAAUCUUCAGUGGCAGGGAACUCUCCAAUUCUUCCACCCGGAUAAAGUCCUCUUCUUUUCUUUUAUACUGACUCUUUUUUUUUUUUUUUAAUUGAGACAGAGUUUCGCUCUUGUUACCCAGGCUGGAGUGCAAUGGCGAAAUCUCGGCUCACCGCAACCUCCGCCUCCUGGGUUCAGGCAAUUCUCCUGCCUCAGCCUCCUGAGUAGCUGGGAUUACAGGCACGCGCCACCAGGCCCAGCUAAUUUUUUGUAUUUUUAGUAGAGACAGGGUUUCACCAUGUUGACCAGGAUGGUCUCGAUCUCUUGACCUUGUGAUCCACCCGCCUCGGCCUCCCAAAGUGCUGGGAUUACAGGCGUGAGCCACCGCGCCUGGCCCUUUUCUACUCACUCUUAAUCUCACUCCCAUUCUCUGCUCAUACCCAAUGUUGUUAAUGAAAGUGAGCAGUUCUAGAUAGCACACGCUUCCUCAUACACCAUGAAAACAAAUGCUCUCCUCCACAGUUACCCUACCAAACUCCAUUGCAACCUUUAACAGCUGCCGCCCUUGCUGGUUCCCUUGGCAUUUGGGUCCGAAGCCCACCCCCUCAGAACACUUACUUGCCUUUUCAGUUCUGUUUAAGCCAAGGACUUUUUUCCUCGGUGGUUCUCCUUCUUACAUCUGCCUUCCUACCAACCGGACAGGCACUUGUACCCUAGUUUUCCUUACUCCCAAAAUUCAGUUUGCCAAUGGAAACGAAAGCCUCCCUGUUCCCCCUGUGGUCCUGACACAACACAAGCAGAUCAUUCCAUUGAUCCCCUUACUUGUAGGGUUAGGAAUUACUACUGCACUCGGCACGGGCACAGCAGGCCUUACCCCUUCAAUCGUCUCCUCCCGUAGCCUCUCUAAUGGUUUCUCUGCUAGCACUGCAGAAUUACCUCAAUCAUUAUCCCUCCUUCAAGCUCAAGUAAAUCCCUGGCUGCAGCUGUCCUCCAAAACCGCAGAGCUCUUGAUUUACUGACUCCUGGAAAAGGAGGUCUUUGCCUAUUUCUAAAUGAAGAAUGUUGUUUUUAUGUAAACCAGUCUGGCCUUGUAUAUGAUGCCAUCAAUAAAUUAAAAGACAGAGCCCAAAAGCUUGCUAAUCAGGCAAAUGGUUAUUCUGGACCUGACUGGACUGGCUGGACACUCUCUAACUGGGAGUCAUGGCUUCCUCCAAUCCUUAGUCCUCUGAUACCUAUCUUUCUCCUUCUCUUAUUUGGACCCUGUGUUUUCUGAUUAAUCUCUCAAUUCCUACAAAAUUGUAUCCAAGCUAUAACCAAUCAGUCAAUAUGCCAAAUGCUCCUUCUAACAACCCCACAAUAUCAACCUUUGCCCCAAAAUCUCUCAGCAGUCUAAAUUCUUUCCCAUUUUUAGGUUUCUGAGCUGCCCCCAAGCCCACUCAAAGAAGCCCUGAGAAGCAUCGCCCAAUCACCCCUCUGGGCCGGCCUUCCUGAUAUUCCUCUGCCCUCCACUCUUCACUUCUUUUUCCUUUAUAGUAGUAAUAUAAAAAGACAGGAAUGUAAGGUCUUUUAGGCUGACUGAAGGUGUCAUAUGACGACCCCAGAAGACCAUGGAAAGAGGAAGAUGAUCAAUCCCUGCAGUGCCUAACUAACUUGAGACAUUCUUCUAUUGUUUCUUGUUCCAGCCCUGAUUGAUAAGGCCAUUGGACUUUGUAACUGACCUCAUGACUCCAGACCCUGCAACACCCUCCCAGCUUGCAAAAAACUACCCUAAACUGUAACUUCUGUAACUUUCCACUGCUUACCGCAGACCUAUGAAACCAGCUUCUACCGCACUGCCCUCCACUGAUUCUCUUUUGACUCAGCCCACCCGCACCCGGGUGAAUAAACAGCCUUGUUGCUCACACAAAA